AACCCUUGUGGAGGAGGACGCCGAAGGUGGGGCUAAUGACUGGGGUGAAGUCGUAACAAGGUAGCCGUACCGGAAGGUGCGGCUGGAUCACCUCCUAACAGGGAGACAACAAAAUGUUUAAUAUUAUUAUUUUGUCACCUUAGGUCGAUCGGUAUCUCACGUUUUUAAUUUAUUAAGAAUUUCAUUUCCUAAGUUUUUCUAGGUCACACCCAUUAUUUUUCCUGGGCCAUUAGCUCAGGUGGUUAGAGCGCACCCCUGAUAAGGGUGAGGUCCCUGGUUCAAGUCCAGGAUGGCCCAUAUCUCUAUGUUGGGGGUAUAGCUCAGUUGGUAGAGCGCCUGCUUUGCAAGCAGGAUGUCAGCGGUUCGAGUCCGCUUACCUCCACUGAUUACCACCUCUUCCAUAACCGGUAGAAAGGAAAUGUUUUGAGUUGUGAUCAAAUUCUGAAAGAAUCUAGCUUCCUAAUGAAAUCAUUAAGAUGCUGGACUCAUUGAAUUAAUUUCAUUGUUUUCAGAGAACCUUGACAACUGCAUAGAUUAUUUUUAAAGACAAUAAGCAUCUUUAAUGAUGCAGAUUUAUUAUUUGUGCGAAUGCAUUAAAUAACAAUUCUAUUAAGCUGAUGCUUCAAUUUUUGAAGUUAUUGGUCAAGCUACAAAGGGCUCACGGAGGAUACCUAGGCACACAGAGG
rnacentral:misc_RNA from 1 species